CGGGCCGGCCCCGCCGCUCCCGCGGAGCAGCCCCGCAGCCCCGGCCCUGGCGAGGACGGGGGCACCGACGAGGACCGGCUGAACCGCAACUCCCUAGCCCGCUCCAUUAAGAAGAUCACGCUGUCCAACCGUUACGGGGAGGCUGGUGCGGGGAACGCGGGGAGACCCGGGGACCCUGCCCGGGUCGGCAGCGAGAGGAACCACAACAACAACAACAGCAGGACAGGGAAAGCUCAGUUCAAGGUCUUUCUCAGGAAGGACGUGGAUGCAGAGGAUGAGCAGCAGGAGCCUGGAAAUCUUCAGACCAGUGUUUUCCGCUCUCCAGUGGACAGAUGUUCUCCCUAUUAUGCGGCGGAGGGCUGGGUGCGAGGCAAGUUGCGGGACCUAAAGGACGGCUGCGAUCUCCAGGACUGGGAGGAGGUGGCUCAGACCUUGCAGCGGGACAUGAAGGAUUUUGAGAACACUCUGAUAAAGCUCAACCAGAUGGGUGAGCAGCUGAUGUGGCAGGCAAGCCCCAGUGCUGAGGCAGUGCGGAGGCAGCUGCUGGCCCUGCAGGGUCAGUGGCAGCUCCUGAAGCAGACAGCUGCCAGCCAGAGCAAAGCCCUGGGUGGGCUACGGAGUCUGCAGGACUUCAACAGGAAAGCUGAGCGGCUGGAGGCAUGGAUCAAGCACAAGGAGGAGAAGCCAUCUCUGGCAGCCCUUCUACAGGAAAGCCCAGACAAGAUCCAGCUCACCCGCCGCAUCCUUGACUUGAAGCAGGAGGAGCAGCAAUUCCAGAGUCUGCACAAGGAGGUGAACAGCCUGGCCCAGAAGCUGGAGAAGCAAGGCAAAAGUGAGAGCAGGAACAUCUCAGCCCGGCGCAAGCACCUCAACAAAACGUGAGCAGAGGACACAUAGGCUUAGCGGGACCAAGCCAAGCACCAGGAGCUGACAGGCUGGGAAGCAGGAUUUCCCAAACCUGCUGGCCCAGCUCUGCACAGCUCCCCAGAUAGGCACAGACUGCCCUUCACCU
rnacentral:lncRNA from 1 species